rnacentral:rRNA from 1 species
AACUUUCAACAAUGGAUCUCUUGGCUCUGGCAUCGAUGAAGAACGCAGCGAAAUGCGAUAAGUAAUGUGAAUUGCAGAAUUCAGUGAAUCAUCGAAUCUUUGAACGCACAUUGCGCCCUCUGGUAUUCCGGAGGGCAUGCCUGUUUGAGUGUCA